AGAAACUUAGGAUAACCCCCGCAAACCGAAGGCCUUCAAAGCCUUAAAUAAGAGUGAGACCCUCUUAGUUUCUG
rnacentral:tRNA from 1 species